rnacentral:rRNA from 1 species
UACGGGGGGGGCGAGCGUUGUUCGGAAUUACUGGGCGUAAAGGGUUUGUAGGUGGUCUGCUAAGUCAGACGUGAAAUCCCUCAGCUUAACUGGGGAACUGCGUCUGAUACUGGCGGACUUGAGGACAGGAGAGGAACGCGGAAUUCCAGGUGUAGCGGUGAAAUGCGUAGAUAUCAGGAGGAACACCGGUGGCGAAGGCGGUUCUCUGGGCCUUACCUGACACUGAGGAGCGAAAGCGUGGGGAGCGAACAGG